rnacentral:misc_RNA from 1 species
UCACCAUAGUCAAUUGUACCACUGUUGUCAAUAUCAGCUGCAUCCAUCAAAUCCUUUAUCUCAGACUCCAUAAGUUCAGAGCCUACUCGCUUUAAGCCUUCCUUCAAUUCAUCAAAAGUUAUCGUUCCACUAUUGUCUGUAUCUAUCAUUUUGAAGAGCUCUUUCAAUCCGCCAAUCUCUUCUUCUGAAAGCCUCUCUGCUAUAACUCGCAAAGCCAUCUUCUUAAGUUUGUUCAUUGCAGAGAAUUGCUUCAGGCGGGAUAAAACAGCAGAAUCAAGGGGCUUAUCUGGGGCAAUUCUGUCAUCUACAAUCCAUGGAUGGCAUAACACUUCAUGAGCUGAUGGCCUUCUCCUAGGAUUCCGGUCAAGCAUUUUUCUUAUGAGAUCCUUGGC